rnacentral:ncRNA from 1 species
AUGUGUGCGUUGAAGGAUUGGAGUAAAAAACAAGUCACUGGUACAGAGAGUCGGCGGUUGGUGCAAGUCGGCACAUACUUGUUUUUGAAUUACGACCUGGAGCAAUCUUCUGGUAUAAAUCAGAGGACGGUGAAAUACCGUUAUCGAUAGAAGUGGCACACACGUUUGGUGUGCAACAAGGGUGGUACCGCGAAAGACCUCGUCCCUUUU